ensembl:snoRNA
GCUGUUCAGUGAUGAGGCCUGGAAUGAGCGCUGGGCACGGCGCCCGAACUCCCCUGUGGAACCAUUCCCUGUUGCCUUCCUUCUGAGAACGGC